CCUACGGGGGGCAGCAGUGGGGAAUAUUGGGCAAUGGGCGCAAGCCUGACCCAGCAACGCCGCGUGAAGGAAGAAGGCUUUCGGGUUGUAAACUUCUUUUCUCAGGGGCGAAGCAAGUGACGGUACCUGAGGAAUAAGCCACGGCUAACUACGUGCCAGCAGCCGCGGUAAUACGUAGGUGGCAGUCGUUAUCCGGAUUUGAUGGGUGUAAAGGGCGUGUAGGCGGGGAUGCAAGUCAGAUGGGAAAACCACGGGCUCAACCUGUGGCCUGCAUUUGAAACUGUGUUUCUUGAGUACUGGAGAGGCAGACGGAAUGCCUAGUGUAGCGGUGAAAUGCGUAGAUAUCAGGAGGAACACCAGUGGCGAAGGCGGUCUGCUGGACAGCAACUGACGCUGAGGCGCGAAAGCGUGGGUAGCAAACAGGAUUAGAUACCCUUGUAGUC
rnacentral:rRNA from 1 species